rnacentral:misc_RNA from 1 species
GGAAGUAAAAGUCGUAACAAGAUUUCCGUAGGUGAACCUGCGGAAGGAUCAUUCAUAAUAAGUGUUUUAUGGCACUUUUUUAAAUCCAUAUCCACCUUGUGUGCAAUGUCAGGGUUGAUUUUUCUCUCGAGAGGAUCAACCCCAAACAUCAACUAUAUCUCAACUCUUUGUCUGAAAAAUGUUAUGAAUAAAACAAUUCAAAAUACAACUUUCAACAACGGAUCUCUUGGCUUUC